rnacentral:misc_RNA from 1 species
UCACCGCCGCCAGCGCCGCGUAGCCGGCUGGCACGUUGGCAUAAUAGGUCGGCGAAAUCUCACGCAGGUUGCGCAGGGUUUCCUCGAAUUGGCCGGGCACCGGACGGCCAUCGUCGAUAUACAGUGUGCCGCCUUCGGUCAGCGCCACAUUGAACAGCGCAUUCCCGCCCAUGGUGUGGUUCCACGGCAUCCAGUCGAGAUAGACACCGUCCGGCGCAUCGUCCGGGCGCGGCCGCACCUGCAUCAU